UACGAAGGGGGCUAGCGUUGCUCGGAAUCACUGGGCGUAAAGCGCACGUAGGCGGAUCGUUAAGUCAGAGGUGAAAUCCUGGAGCUCAACUCCAGAACUGCCUUUGAUACUGGCGAUCUUGAGUUCGGGAGAGGUGAGUGGAACUGCGAGUGUAGAGGUGAAAUUCGUAGAUAUUCGCAAGAACACCAGUGGCGAAGGCGGCUCACUGGCCCGAUACUGACGCUGAGGUGCGAAAGCGUGGGGAGCAAACAGG
rnacentral:rRNA from 1 species